AAACAAGCUCAAGCAGAUCAGAAGAGGGCCAAGUUUUUCCAGCCUGAGGGAGACCAUUUGACCUUACUCGCUGUAUAUGAGGCUUGGAAAGCUAAGAACUUUUCAGGGCCUUGGUGUUUUGAGAAUUUUGUUCAGUCCAGAUCCUUGAGGAGGGCACAGGAUGUUAGGAAACAGCUUCUCUCAAUCAUGGAUAAAUACAAAUUGGAUGUUGUGAGUGCUGGAAAGAAUUUCACGAAGAUAAGAAAAGCAAUCACAGCUGGAUUCUUCUUUCAUGCUGCUAGAAAGGAUCCACAGGAGGGUUAUCGGACCCUAGUUGAGAACCAACCUGUUUAUAUACACCCGAGCAGUGCUCUUUUUCAGAGACAACCAGACUGGGUCAUCUACCAUGAACUGGUAAUGACUACAAAGGAGUACAUGCGCGAGGUGACUGUUAUAGAUCCCAAAUGGCUUGUGGAACUGGCACCGAGGUUCUUUAAGGUGGCAGAUCCUACAAAAAUGAGCAAGAGGAAACGUCAAGAACGGAUCGAGCCACUAUAUGACAGAUACCAUGAACCUAAUUCAUGGCGAUUGAGUAAACGGCGAGCGUGAUGUGUUUCGAGAGCCAUUGUUUUCAACUGGUCCUAAUCACAAUUUCGUUCUGUCAUGCUGUAAAUUUUUAACUGUACUUUGUACAUAUUCUCCUGGAUAAUUUUAUGAAAUGGUGUAGACGCUUUGGUGGCCUGUGGACUGGAGGUGGCUUGU
rnacentral:misc_RNA from 1 species